GAUGAACGCUGGCGGCGUGCCUAAUACAUGCAAGUCGAGCGAACAGACGAGGAGCUUGCUCCUCUGACGUUAGCGGCGGACGGGUGAGUAACACGUGGAUAACCUACCUAUAAGACUGGGAUAACUUCGGGAAACCGGAGCUAAUACCGGAUAAUAUAUUGAACCGCAUGGUUCAAUAGUGAAAGACGGUUUUGCUGUCACUUAUAGAUGGAUCCGCGCCGCAUUAGCUAGUUGGUAAGGUAACGGCUUACCAAGGCAACGAUGCGUAGCCGACCUGAGAGGGUGGACGGCCACCACGGAAAUGAGAAAAGGGCCCAACUCCCAAGGGGGGCAGGAGUAGGGAAUCUUCCGGAAUGGGCGAAAGCCUGAACGAGCAAAGGCGCGGGGGGGAAGAAGGGCUUCCGAUCGGAAAACCCCGGUAUUAGGGAAGAACAAAUGUGUAAGUAACUAUGCACGUCUUGACGGUACCUAAUCAGAAAGCCACGGCUAACUACGUG
rnacentral:rRNA from 1 species